CAAAGGAAGGACUGCCAGUGAUAAACUAGGAGGAAGGUGGGAGUGACGUCAAAUCAGCACGGCCCUUAUGUCCAGGGCUACACACGUGUUACAAUGGUCGGUACAGAGGGCAGCUACCUGGUGACAGGAUGCUAAUCUCGAAAACCGGUCUCAGUUCGGAUCGAAGUCUGCAACUCGACUUCGUGAAGCUGGAUUCGCUAGUAAUCGCGCAUCAGCUAUGGCGCGGUGAAUACGUUCCCGGGUCUU
rnacentral:rRNA from 1 species